AGCAGCCGCGGUAAUUCCAGCUCCAAUAGCGUAUAUUAAAGUUGUUGCAGUUAAAAGCUCGUAGUUGAAUUUCGGGGUUCUACCGUUGGUCGGGCUAUUGUCUGUACUGGCGUGUAGAAUUUCUACCUUCUGGGGAACUAUCAUGUUAUUAAUUUAGCGUGGUAGGAAACCAGGACCUUUACCUUGAAAAAAUUAGAGUGUUCAAAGCAGGCUUAUGUCUGAAUACAUUAGCAUGGAAUAAUAAAAUAGGACGGUGGUCCUGUUUGAUGGUUCUGAAUCACCGUAAUGAUUAAUAGGGAUAGUUGGGGGCAUUAGUAUUCAAUUGUCAGAGGUGAAAUUCUUGGAUUUAUUGAAGACUAACUACUGCGAAAGCAUUUGCCAAGGAUGUUUCAUUAAUCAAGAACGAAGUUAGGGAUCGAAGACGAUCAGAUACCGUCGUAGUCUUAACCAUAAACUAUGCCGACUAGGGAUCGGAUGAUGUUAAUUUUUAUGUACUCAUUCGGCGCCUUACGGGAACCAA
rnacentral:rRNA from 1 species